rnacentral:rRNA from 1 species
UGGGGAAUUUUGGACAAUGGGGGAAACCCUGAUCCAGCCAUCCCGCGUGUGCGAUGAAGGCCUUCGGGUUGUAAAGCACUCUUGGCAGGAAAGAAACGUCAUGGGUUAAUACCCCGUGAAACUGACGGUACCUGCAGAAUAAGCACCGGCUAACUACGUGCCAGCAGCCGCGGUAAUACGUAGGGUGCAAGCGUUAAUCGGAAUUACUGGGCGUAAAGCGUGCGCAGGCGGUUCGGAAAGAAAGAUGUGAAAUCCCAGAGCUCAACUUUGGAACUGCAUUUUUAACUACCGGGAUAGAGUGUGUCAGAGGGAGGUGGAAUUCCGCGUGUAGCAGUGAAAUGCGGAGAUAUGCGAAGGAACACCGAUGGCGAAGGCAGCCUCCUGGGAUAACACUGACGCUCAUGCACGAAAGCGUGGGGAGCAAACAGG